rnacentral:rRNA from 1 species
AUCUCAGUUCGGAUUGCAGGCUGCAACUCGCCNGCAUGAAGCUGGAAUUGCUAGUAAUCGCGGAUCAGCAAGCCGCGGUGAAUACGUUCCCGGGCCUUGUACACACCGCCCGUCACACCAUGAGAGUCGGGAACACCCGAAGUCCGUAGUCUAACCGCAAGGGGGGCGCGGCCGAAGGUGGGUCCGGUAAUUGGGGUGAAGUCGUAACAAGGUAAC